UCUGUAGCAAGGUUAACCGUAUAGGGGAGCCGGAGGGAAACCGAGUCUUAAUUGGGCGUUAAGUUGCAGGGUAUAGACCCGAAACCCGGUGAUCUAGCCAUGGGCAGGUUGAAGGUUGGGUAACACUAACUGGAGGACCGAACCGACUAAUGUUGAAAAAUUAGCGGAUGACCUGUGGCUGGGGGUGAAAGGCCAAUCAAACCGGGAGAUAGCUGGUUCUCCCCGAAAGCUAUUUAGGUAGCGCCUCGUGAAUUCAUCUCCGGGGGUAGAGCACUGUUUCGGCUAGGGGGCCAUCCCGGCUUACCAACCCGAUGCAAACUGCGAAUACCGGAGAAUGUUAUCACGGGAGACACACGGCGGGUGCUAACGUCCGUCGUGAAGAGGGAAACAACCCAGACCGCCAGCUAAGGUCCCAAAGUCAUGGUUAAGUGGGAAACGAUGUGGGAAGGCCCAGACAGCCAGGAUGUUGGCUUAGAAGCAGCCAUCAUUUAAAGAAAGCGUAAUAGCUCACUGGUCGAGUCGGCCUGCGCGGAAGAUGUAACGGGGCUAAACCAUGCACCGAAGCUGCGGCAGCGACGCUGAUGCGUUGUUGGGUAGGGGAGCGUUCUGUAAGCCUGCGAAGGUGGCCUGUGAGGGUUGCUGGAGGUAUCAGAAGUGCGAAUGCUGACAUAAGUAACGAUAAAGCGGGUGAAAAGCCCGCUCGCCGGAAGACCAAGGGUUCCUGUCCAACGUUAAUCGGGGCAGGGUGAGUCGACCCCUAAGGCGAGGCCGAAAGGCGUAGUCGAUGGGAAACGGGUUAAUAUUCCCGUACUUGGUGUUACUGCGAAGGGGGGACGGAGAAGGCUAUGUUGGCCGGGCGACGGUUGUCCCGGUUUAAGCGUGUAGGUGUGUGUUCCAGGUAAAUCCGGUU
rnacentral:rRNA from 1 species